AAUGAACGCUGGCGGCGUGCCUAAUACAUGCAAGUCGAGCGAAUGGAUUAAGAGCUUGCUCUUAUGAAGUUAGCGGCGGACGGGUGAGUAACACGUGGGUAACCUGCCCAUAAGACUGGGAUAACUCCGGGAAACCGGGGCUAAUACCGGAUAACAUUUUGAACCGCAUGGUCCGAAAUUGAAAGGCGGCUUCGGCUGUCACUUGGGGAUGGACCCGGGUCGCAUUAGCUAGUUGGUGAGGUAACGGCUCACCAAGGCAACGAUGCGUGGCCGACCUGAGAGGGUGAUCGGCCACACUGGGACUGAGACACGGCCCAGACUCCUACGGGAGGCAGCAGUAGGGAAUCUUCCGCAAUGGACGAAAGUCUGACGGAGCAACGCCGCGUGAGUGAUGAAGGCUUUCGGGUCGUAAAACUCUGUUGUUAGGGAAGAACAAGUGCUAGUUGAAUAAGCUGGCACCUUGACGGUACCUAACCAGAAAGCCACGGCUAACUACGUGCCAGCAGCCGCCGUAA
rnacentral:rRNA from 1 species